UUGAAUCUUGCGAUUACAUAAAACUUUAUUACAAUCUCUCUGCUUUCCUCGGGUAUUUUCAAAUCACUUUUAUAUAUAUGUGUGUGUUAAAUAUUUAAAGUUUCACGGGCUCUCUUACAAAAAUAACCGGUUUGAACGUAAAGUUUUCAAAACUAACCGGCCUACGUUCAACUUUUCAAAACUAACCAGCCUAAUUCAUUAAAACUAGGGCGACCCGAACUUAAACUUCUCCCCAGUGCAGGUCGCCCUACACACGGGCGACCCCCAUUGUUUUUCUCCCCUGUACAGGUCGCCCUACAUAC
rnacentral:lncRNA from 1 species